GAGUUUGAUCGUGGCUCCAGAUUGAACGCUGGCGGCAUGCCUUACACAUCGCAAGUCGAACGGCAGCACGGGAGCUUGCUCCUGGUGGCGAGUGGCGAACGGGUGAGUAAUGCAUCCGGAACGUAUCCUGGGGUGGGGGAUAACGUAGCGAAAGUUACGCUAAUACCGCAUAUUCUGUGAGCCAGGAAAGCGGGGGACCUUCGGGCCUCGCCGCUCUUGGAGCGGCCGAUGUCGGAUUAGCUAGUUGGUGAGGUAAAGGCUCACCAAGGCGACGAUCCGUAGCAGGUCUGAGAGGAUGAUCUGCCACACUGGAACUGAGACACGGUCCAGACUCCUACCGGGAGGCAGCAGUGGGGAAUUUUGGACAAUGGGGGCAACCCUGAUCCAGCC
rnacentral:rRNA from 1 species